UUCCAGUCCUACUCUUAUUAAAUCGCAAAACUCCCAUUGACUCCAGUGGUGUAAAAUCAGGCACUAGAACACAAGUUCCUUCUCAUGGAAAGAAACAAGUGGAGAAUUAGGAUAAGUGUUUACCUGAGUCUUCUAAAACAAAAUAUAUGCAAAAUGCUGAGGGGUUGCCACGGUAUGGGGAAUAAACUUCCAGUUUUCUGACACUGUCCUAAAUUGAAAGGCUCCUGAGUAAAAAUUUAAAAUAAAUAAAUGCGAGAACUACUACAAGAACUCUAUUUUCCUGUGAUAGGAUAUACAAAGCCAUGCUCGAGAGGAGGGGGUUAAGGAGAUGGUCUGGGAUCAGGCCACCCCAUUCCACUGCACCUGCAAAGCCUGCACAGGCUAAAGGAGAGCUCAAAAAAGGGAGAUGAGUAGCUCACUGGCUGGCAGACGGUGGAGGUGAGCUGAUCUGUACUCCUGGAAAGGAACAUCACAGGAGCUCUUGCUGCCAGAGGCCUGUCUAUAGUCAUCUGACCAAACCUGUAAAGAAGGGACCUGUAACUCUCUGAAGUCCCCGAAAGGACAGAACACCACAGGGCGAAGUGGUAGUAAGAAUGACUUCCUCCCAGGCAUUCGCCAAACUGCCACAUUCCUGCCUGACCAUGGGGCAGCACUGGUGAUUCCAGUCUCGCAGAUGACUGCAAGGGAUUCCUGCACCAUUGCAGAAUCCCACUGAUGUCAGUGAAGAUCUGUGAACAAGCAGAGGGGUUCCCAUGCACUACCAGUUGCAAGAUCAGGAGUUAAAC